GCACGGGACUUCAUUCCUUGAUGAAUGCGGCUCAACUGCUAACAGGAUAAGAAGACACGAACCAGGAGAAGUUGGACGCUUUUUAGAAUUUCCUCUCGUACCGCUAUAGUGUCAUGGGUGGAGGGGAGCGAGGCUGCCAUCUCCGAAGACAACACGCCUCUGAGUGUGCGCCUCCUAGUUUGUGCGGCAAUGUUCCCCAUGUUCAAUGAGAAAAUUCAAUGCCCCAGCGCUCAGAACUCCCAGCUAGUAUUGACGCAAUAGCUCUCCCAAAUGUCGACCGGAAAGUCGUUAAAAAAAUCGUUGCGACGAUCGGCUCGACAAGCUGAAGACCGCGCCAGUGAAUGCAUGUGAAACGGCACCUCUACUCUCCCAUCGCCAGGCCCAAAGACGUGUUGUUCAUAGGUGUCUUUCACAAUGCUAGUGUUGCUGAUCGCGGAGGACCACUGUCCACUGCUCGUCCGCCGUGGUGUUACUUCUGAUGAGGCUCAGAGCGCAUGUGUAUUGUUUACUGUGAACAAUCUGUUGAAAUAUAAUGAGUAGAUCUGUA